rnacentral:lncRNA from 1 species
UUGUGGGUCCUUCUAGUUGUGCUAUGUGGGACGCCGCCUGCCUCAGCAUGGCUUGAUGAGUGGUGCUAUGUCCGUGCCCAGGAUGCGAACCAGUGAAACCCUGGACUGCUGAAGCAGAGCGUGGGAAUUUAACCACUAGGCCACAGGCCAGCCCCUGGUUUUUUUUUUUUUUUUAUAGGAAUAAAAUAAAGACAAAAGGCAAUCAUGUUGUUAGCAUAAUGCAUUCAAUACAACGUGCUUUGACUUGUUUUAACAUUACAACUUAACUAAAUUUACCUUGGUUAUUAGAAGAGUUGAAUAGAGACUUACUACUCUGAUUUAAGAAAGGGAUGAAAGAAUAAUGAAAACAUAAAAUGUAUGCAGUCACCAUCUAACUUCCUCCCUAUAGUUAAAUGUAAUUACAGUUUUCCAGCAAAGAAUUUGUGGAGAAUUAAAAUGAAAAGAAAGUCUUGGGAAAGUAGCCCCAACUGGUUGGAAAAUAUGAAAUUAAUUAUCUCAGCGUCCAAAAAGAAUGUGUUUCUUAUAAAGAAUCGGAGAUCUGUUGAACUUCAGAAUUAUUUACAUUUCUUCAGCAAUGUUCUCACUGUCAGUGGAACAGCAACAUGUGAAGAAGUAAUUUUGUCACAUGAUCCGUGUAAUCCAGAGCCGGGACAGCGUCCACGGAGCUCGUCCGGGCCAGCCCUCCGUUUCGUCGGAGGACGCCCCAACUGCUUGAAGUAAUUGGUUCCUGUCUGCUUUUGCUAGCUCGUCCUUUUAUGUAAAAACAAGCAAACGACUGAACGGAAAGUGAAGACCUGUUUUUCUCCUUGUCUUAAAAUUUCUUUAAAGAACAAUUUACCCCAAACAUUACAAAUUUCAGACACAGUUUUAGGUCUGUUUUGUUCUGUUUCACGUAAUAUCAAUACUAAGAAAAAGAUUAUCAACAAUUUACUAAAAUUUUCCCAAGAGAUGUUAAAAUUUAGUUUUACAUACAUAGAAAAAGAGUGGACCGCUUUGAAGGGGGAUUAGUUAGAAUUAAAGGCAUUGAAAAAGGAAAAUUGUAGAAGAAAAUCUUAGUGGUGCUCAUUCAGCUGCCAUCCAGAGGAAGCGGGGUGUUAGUCAUCAGACCUGAAGUAUUCAGAUCACAUUGGGCGUCUCAUGUCAACUUUGAGGUCAGUCUAUCAGGACAGCUUAGCUUGCAGACAUCAAACUGGAAAUUCAAUUGGCCCCUUGAUUUAAUACUUACUAAGAAAAGUUCUAUUUGGAUUUCCAUGAAGCUUUGCCGACAAAAGGAAAAUAAACUCUACCCUGGACAGACCAUAAGGUGCUUAGCUGGAGCCAUAUCUAGAGACUCAUUCUGGGAGAGAGCAGCCUCUAGAAAUUCUUUUGGUUUGAGGUUGCCGCGGCUUAUGCACAUGAAACAGGUGAAAUCAAUUCUGCUCCCUAACUGCAGCUGGUGGUCCUAGGCACCCACACCUGGGCUGAGGCAUGUGCAAACAGAUCAGGGAGCCAAAUGCUAAACCACCCCAGCCAUUCAGUCUUUUCCAGAGAGUACAUCUCUGAGAUGCCCCCAGAGUGGGUGGACUCCCGAGGCAUUGGUGAAUCCUAUAGAUGAAGAGCCAUGGUUCCAGCAAUCUUUGAGGCCAGAUGUGCUUUUCAGUCUUAGAAGCGCUGAGUUCUCCCGGUGAUUGGAAUUCUCCAUCUAUAAACCACCAGGUGGAAUCUGCAAAGUUAAGGAUCCAGGGUCCUUCAAUAUAAAAGAGGAAGUCAGCAUGACAGGCUGUGAGAAGAGCUCCACCCCCGCUGCUGGCUCAGAAGAUGGAAAGGGACCAAGAGCCCAGGGAUGUGGGUGGCCUCUAGAAGAUGGCAAGGGCAAAGAAAUGGAUUUUUCCCUAGAGAAUCCUCCAGAAAGGAAUGCAGCCCUGCUGACUCCUUGAUUUCAGCUCAAUGAGACCCAUUUUGGACUUCUGACCUAUAGAACCGUGGUCACUGAGCGCAGAGAUGGAGGUGGAACGGCAUUCGUGGAUACUUGUAUCCUGGUUCUUAUCAACUACCUGCAGCUCGCUGAAUAUACCUGGAGGUGGACCCCUGUCAACCAUCAGAAAGCUUUUUAAUCAACCUUAACCUGUGCCGCUCAGACCUGGAUGUGCUCAUAGAAAGGGCCUCAGGCGAAGAACGGUGAAUUGAAUACACACAGUCACGUCCAUGUUCUUCGGGGGCCUCUUGCAAACAACAGUAAAGGUAAGAGAAGAAUGAACAAGCAAGAAGCAUCUACACAGCCAGUGAAAGGGGAGACUCAACAUUUAUUGUAGUCAGCAGUGUGGGAGCCCAGGAUGAAAGCGUUUAAGCCUGGUGGAAUAGCCCUUGCUCCUGGUUUGCACACUCGUCACAGCAGAGGCCUUCGCUCCCCUCCAGCUUAUAAUCCAGAGCCACCCUCCUGCCUCCUCCAUGAUUCUCAUCCCUGCUGCACUGGAAAGAAACAGAAGAAAUGACACCGGAAAGAAACAGAAAAAAUGAGACUAGGAAGAGAGAUGGGGAAUGGCUAUGCACAUGCUUCCACUACUUCCUUCCUCCCUAAAAUGUACAGCACGUCAGAUCCUCAGGAGCUCUGGCAAGGAUGCCUCCACACGUGGACAGUAUUGCACCCUAAAAUCCUACACUUUCACAGCCCGGGGAGCCGGAGCUACAUAAAAAUAUAUUAAACAACCCAAAGUCACUUGCUACUAGG